GGGGUAAAGAAACAUUUAAAAUUUACCAAUCAGCUUCAUGUCAGCUUCCCUUUCUUCUAUUAUAAGAGAAAGUAAAAUACCAUAAAUUUGAAAACAGCGACUUUAAGGUGUUAAUAUUUCAAAAUACAUUUAUUGUUUGUCUAUUCUGUCAGUCCCGCUUUUAUCCAUGUACACGGAUAUAAACAUACAAAAGAUGAAUGUCUGGGAUUUAUCUAAUAUUCAUGAAAGUUAUUUCUAGCUGAAAAAACUUUGGUUUCUUUUUAUUUUCUGUAUUUUUCUGCAUUACUUUAAAAUUUUUACAGUGUACAUGUUUUGUAUCACUUUUGCAAAAAAAAACAAAUGAUUUGUUUUUUAAAAAAACAAUUGGGAGCAAAUAUACCAAAAUGUAAAAGACAGCUAAUUUUGUGGGUGUGAUAUGCAACUGAUGAAUCACUAAAUUCUACCUCUGAAGCUAAUAAUACAGAAUAUGUGAAUUCAAUUUAAUUUACAUAUAUAUUUUUUAAAAAGAUAGUUGAUUUUGCAAGGUAAAGGCCGUUAAGAUAUUUUAUAUUUUUCAGGGAAAUUUUUUUUUUUUAAUUUUAAAAAAGGAAAAUUGUGAAUCUAAGAUCAGCGCAGUAGGGAUCCAGAGAGGGCAAGCAGAGUCAAGGUCAAGGUUGAAGGAGUCCUAGGGCAGAGUGUCUUUUCAGCCAGGAAAGGCCCCAGUACAGGCAGCUAACAGGAAGCAUCUGGUAGCCAGGGUCACGACCCUGGAGAGGGAGUUGAGGUUGGAUUUGGAAGCAGGGCCUCCAGUGGCCUGGGGGCACCCCGCAGGCAGAUACCGGCUUUCCCCCAGGUGAUAACCUCGGUUCCUGGGAGCACGUUUGAGCAACCAGAUCGCACACCUCCUACAGCCGGCUGGAUGGGCUGGAUGGAUGCAGGCGGUUGGCUACCAAAGCGCAGACGCGUCCAGCCCCGCCAAGGAGCCAGGCACCGAAUAACCGUUCUGGAAUUAUGAAAAAAGCAUCAGUUGAAGAUUUUUUUUUUUCUUUUUCAAGAGAGGGGAACGAUUCACCUCGGGAAGAGGCUGUGGCAAUGGGAGAAGCUGAAUAUGACCCAAGAGGGAGGGAGGAGUGGGAGAGUAGAAAUGAUAGGGCGGGUGUAGGCAUUGGGUGGGGGAGACGGGGGAUGGGGGGAAGCCUCUGCUUCCAUAAUACUGAAAUCAUCCAUUUGCGUGUCCAUCUUUUCACCAAACUGUGCCCUCCUUCCAUGGUCUGUGCCCAGCUCGUCCUUGAGACCCUCCCCAUCGCCUCGCAGGGCAUCGGCUCCCCGUCGGUGCUCAAAAAAUGCUCAAGUGCGUCGGUCGAGUGCAGGGCUUACGAGGAGAAAGCAAGGAGGCCGGCGCUCCGGAGUUGCUUCGGAGGGGCUCUCGGGCAUUCAAGGAGGGGGUGCGGUGGGGGUGGGGGGACAGCCCUACUUUACAGCGGAGGGAGCGGUGCAGACAGCCGGCUGUCUACACGGGGCUUGCCGUCCUCAGCCCUCGGGGACGGACAGGGAUGUCAGAGGAGGCCUGAUCUUUUGACCAGAAAGGGAUUAAAAAGUUGCCCAUCCUGA
rnacentral:lncRNA from 12 species